rnacentral:lncRNA from 1 species
GAGUAUUGCAUCUCCAACGGAGUGGGUUAGUAAAGUUACUCUCCUCAGUUCACCACUGGCUUGUUUUCCCAGGUCCUACUUCACGGGAUCUCCGAUCAUAUAGGUUGGGUUACUACCAUGGCAACUCAUGUGGGUCUCAUACCCAUCUCCCUCGAUGCACUAUCUAUCACAACACGUGAUAGCCCUUUAAUAAAGGGAUCUGCCAGAUUCUUAGC